AUUCCCUUCGACAUUAAAUUUAAUAAUCAUUACUUUCCCGGUCGGGAUUUACCCUAGUGGGCAUGUGUCGAUUUUUCUUUUUGCUAAAUCAAAACCGAAUGCCUUUUAUUUGUUUUGCCCUCUUUUUGUUUAUGGCAUUAAUCAUUUAGUCACAAGGAUUCACACGCUUUCGAGUUUUGACGUUCUGUGAUUCCGAUUGCAUCCUUCACCAUUUGAAAGAGCGCUAAAAUAAAUAGUUCAUGAACAACUUAAAGAUAUGCACAGCUGCAGCGAGAUUACGCAAGUUGGUAUCUCUAGGUGAACGUGAUAUUUACGACUGCCAAGUAUGCGAAAGUGAAAUCGUAAAUUAGUUAACAGCCAAAUAACAAUAAAGGGUGGACAUGAAUUUUAACCAAAAGAAGACCACAGUGAACACCUCAUUUCUCUGCGUAAACAUCAGUACAUGACUCGACAUCUGUCUUCUCUUUUUUGUUUUCGGUUUUGGUUCUUUAAAUUCCCUCUUCAACUCAGUUGGUCAUCAGAUAUGCAUGACAUUCUUUACUCUCUAAAAUGACAUGUUCUCAAAUAUGUUUCACAAAUGGGCCUUUUGUGGUUACUUUCCCGAAUUACAUGCGUGUUUUCGUUGCUUUUCAUCGUAAAACAAUUUCCUAUCCAUCACAGAUAAUUGAAUUAAUUUUCGUCAGCGGAAUUUUUUGUUUUAAAGCUAACCCGUCCCCGUAUAGAGCCUAAGGUUGUUCGUUAUCCCUUCAAAAAUUGGGUUCGGCAACCCAAGUGUUACCUACCCACAUUACCGCCUCGAGGCGUCAAAGUGGGCAUGGCCGACCUCCUAUCCCUUUUACCAAGAUUUGGAAAGGUGUUUUGUAGAUUCACUUGAUUCACCGAAGCUUGCCUUAAGCUUCUAGUGUGGGAGGCGUCCAGUACACGAAUAAGGAUUCCUUUAUCCAUUUACAUCUACAGAUUGUUUGACAACACAAAAAUUCUUUUGUGACCUACAUCUAUAUGUGAGAACAAGGACCUACUGGAUGCAUCGAUUGUGAGUAUCUAAAAUCAAAACAAAAACUAGAGAAGCAAAUAAAAUUUUUUUCACGACAUAUUGGGAGAGAACUGGAUGUACAGAUGCCCUGUACAACUGCUGCUGCGAUUGCAAUCAACUGGAUAUCCAUCUUUCCAUCUGAGCAGCGUGCUGCAUUGAGAAAUAUUGCGGACCACUGUUAGUUGCUGUAGCUCAACCGCAGCAAUUUCUUAGUUUCAUACGCGAAAACAACCAAAAGUGCGAAGAAAAGAAACUAAACAGGGGCAAGGCUCUCAGGCAAGUGGAAAAUGAAGCGGUUCAAUCAUGUAUGUUUAAACCUGCCCUCUUUUAGGGACGCGGUGUUUAACAAACAAGAAGUUUAAGGAUGCUGCGUAACGAAAGAGAAGGUGCAAUGUCAUAUUUCAUCUUUUUCAUAAUAAAAGUGGAACGGGGCUUGCAUGGUACGUCUGAAUGAGGACCAAGCUUAAAGUAAACAAGAUGACAAUCCAAUUUGCAUACGUGCUGCUGGUACAAGAAAGUCGACUUUAGUCUACAAUGGAGCUGUGAAGUUUCCUUUGAUGCAACAGGAAGUCGUGUACGUUCUGUUUAGAAUUCAUCUGUCUCUCCGAGGAUCCAGAACAUCUUAAUCAAAACUACACUUACUUGAAGUCGCACAUAUCUUUUAAAGCUUUGUGCAGUUGUGGAUGAUAGAACGCUGCUGAAAAUCACUGCUUUACAAAGAAAAUGUAGACAAUUGUGUUUGAAUAGUUCUCUUUUAAUAAUAACAAAAAGGAUAAUUGCAAUUUUUGCGAAUGUAAACAGAAAUAUUUACGAAAGGGGACAACUACUGUGGGAAAGUGAAGUACCGGAGUAUUCCGGUUAAGUAGCAUGCACCUCAAAGACUUAAACAGCAUCUUCAUUUCCUAUAGAUCCUCCAUACCCACCGGAUCCACCUCCUUGUGGUAAAUAAGGUGUCUGUAAAGGAACACUUGUUCGUGAUUGGAAUAAGGAACUGAUUCCAUCAGCUCCACCAGUAGUGUUACUGUCAUUACGUCCUGCAGUUACGAUUCUUUCGUGAUGAAUUUUCUGACGUUGCCCUAAUCAUACCGAUUUAGCAAUGUGGUGUAUUCUUGCUUGCGAUUGAACUAACCUUUCCCAUUUUCAUUUUCUUCUCCGUCAUAUGUUUUAAUGAAGUCGACUCCUGGUUCAAAAAGAUAAUCGUUUAGUUUUCACAAUUGGAUUGCCAAAUGUUGAAAACUCACCUCUGUCUUGUUUCGCGGUCUUGUUUGCUUCGACGCUGCAUUGAAUCAACAGUAAGAAGCAAACGAUCGAUAAUGUAAUCUGCAGAAAGACGGAAUACCGAAGACGGUGUUCAACUGCUGUUCAAUUCUUUGCGCAGCGGUUAUAAAUACAGCCAGGUGUUGCACCCAUUUUAAUAAAAAGGAAAAUUUGCCAACGUUCAUAUAUUACUCUUGAGCGUUAUUUUCUUUGUCACUUUUUUCUUCCCCCUAGGAUUUUUCUGCUGCGCUUAAUAACCCAAACAAAGGCAAUUAUUAAUGACGUGCAAUCUAUACCGCAACUUUCCAUUCGUUGUCUGCAG
rnacentral:lncRNA from 1 species